CGGUAGGUUUUCGGUCUCAUUCUUCCACAGAUUUCGGGUUCGGGCGCGCGUCGAACACUAAAGGAUACCAAAGAGUUCUCGUUACAAUGUGGUUUAACCCAAAAGGCCUUACGGGUGGGAGGAUGGGACAAGACCUGUCCCUGUGUGGAUCGAGCAUUAUGGCGGCGCUCCAGCAUCUCAUCACCAAUCCUAAGGAAUUCAGCUGCCUCCCAGGGUGAAUGCAGCUUGUUCCUCUUGGAAUGAUUUUCCUGGGGAGGGAGAUGGCAACCCAGCAAGCGGCACAGUUGGUUCUUGUGAUGGUGUGCUCUUCCCUCACCCACAUGUCACUGUCAGAUGAUUUGAAUGAUAAUGCUGAUUCUCUGUGAGGUUGUCCCCAUGGUGAUGUAUACGUCUGUCUUACAAUGCCUCUUGAUCUGCUCAGGGUCAAACUCCUGGAAAGAGUUGAGAGCGGAGCAGCUUGUUCUUUGUUCCUGUAUACUCGUGGAAAGCCUUCCAGAGUUGAAAGGUACCAUUGCCAAUUACCUGCUUGUUGGCUCAAAGGUCCAGUUCCUUGUCUGGAGCCUGAGAAUGAAUUGAGGGGAAAGGAGUAAGCCAUAUUUCUGUUCAACUCCAGUCUGAAGUUAAGAGGUCUGAAGAAGGAACAAAGCACACAUAAUGGAAUCCAACUCUCGAAGGAUAUCAAAAAUGGAAUUUUCUUAUACAACCUACCUGUUCAAAUUAGCAUACAAUCAUUUCAGCCUUUCUAAAUAAAACUUUGUUUUUUUAAA